UGUUUAGGAAGCUCUUUUAUCUCUC
rnacentral:siRNA from 1 species